CCUACGGGAGGCUGCAGUGAGGAAUAUUGGUCAAUGGACGAGAGCCUGAACCAGCCAAGUAGCGUGAAGGAUGACUGCCCUACGGGUUGUAAACUUCUUUUAUAAGGGAAUAAAGUGAUCCACGUGUGGGAUUUUGUAUGUACUAUAUGAAUAAGGAUCGGCUAACUCCGUGCCAGCAGCCGCGGUAAUACGGAGGAUCCGAGCGUUAUCCGGAUUUAUUGGGUUUAAAGGGAGCGUAGAUGGAUUGUUAAGUCAGUUGUGAAAGUUUGCGGCUCAACCGUAAAAUUGCAGUUGAAACUGGCAGUCUUGAGUACAGUUGAGGUGGGCGGAAUUCGUGGUGUAGCGGUGAAAUGCUUAGAUAUCACGAAGAACUCCGAUUGCGAAGGCAGCUCACUAAACUGCCACUGACACUGAGGCUCGAAAGUGUGGGUAUCAAACAGGAUUAGAUACCCCAGUAGUC
rnacentral:rRNA from 1 species